GUCCCGCGCGCCCGCCCUCCGGGUCCGCCGCGGAGCUCGGGCGCGGCCCAGAGUCGCCGGUUCGAGCCUUCUGCCUGCUCGGGGCUGGGAGCUGGGGACAGGGCGUCGCGCCGUCCGGGCGGCAGCCCCGCGACCUCCGUUCUGUUUCUACACCCGUGCGCGGAGACUUGUAACUAGUUAAUUAAUUCAACAAACGGACCCUUCUGCGUAUCAGAAACUGCAAGGAGUUGCUAGCCCAGUGGGGCAGGCGGACUGGAAGACCAGGAAAGGCCAGGCCCCGGGCAGUGUGAACUCCUUGUGGAAAGAUUAGGAAAUACAAGUAAACGUAAAGAGAAAAAUAAAAUGAUUUCACCAAGAUACAACUAGAUUUCUGACUCUCCGCUUGCAUAUAUAUGCAGACACUGCCCUCUGUGACCAUGAAACUCUGGGUAUCCAUGUUGCUGGUGGCCUGGUUUGGUGUCCUGGGCCGUGUGCAGGCUGAAUUCUUUACUUCUAUUGGGCACAUGACAGACCUGAUUUAUGCAGAGAAGGACCUGGUGCUGUCCCUGAAGGAGUACAUCUUGGUGGAGGAAGCCAAGCUCUCUAAGAUUAAGAGCUGGGCCAACAAAAUGGAAGCCCUGACCAGCAAGUCAGCUGCUGACCCUGAAGGCUACCUGUCCCACCCUGUGAAUGCCUAUAAACUGGUGAAGCGACUAAACACAGACUGGCCUGCGCUGGAGGACCUUGUCCUGCAGAACUCAGCUGCAGGCUUUAUUGCCAACCUGUCAGUGCAGCGACAGUUCUUUCCCACUGAUGAAGAUGAAACAGGAGCCGCCAAGGCCUUGAUGAGACUUCAGGACACAUACAAACUGGACCCAGACACAAUUUCCAAAGGGGAGCUUCCAGGAACCAAGUACCAGGCUGUGCUGAGUGUGGACGACUGCUUUGGGAUGGGCCGCUCGGCCUACAAUGAAGGAGACUAUUACCACACAGUGCUCUGGAUGGAACAGGUGCUGAAGCAGCUCGAUGCAGGGGAGGAGGCCACCACAUCCAAGGCCCAGGUGCUGGACUAUCUGAGCUAUGCCGUCUUCCAGUUGGGUGACCUGCACCGUGCCCUGGUGCUCACCCGUCGACUGCUCUCCCUUGACCCGAGCCAUGAACGAGCUGGAGGAAAUCUGCGCUACUUUGAACGGUUGUUGGAGGAAGAAAGAGAAAAGAUGUUAUUGAAUCACACAGAAGCUGAGCUAGCACCCCAGGAAGGCGUAUAUGAGAGGCCUGUGGACUACCUGCCCGAGAGGGAUAUCUACGAGAGCCUCUGUCGUGGGGAGGGUGUCAAACUGACACCCCGAAGGCAGAAGAGGCUUUUCUGUAGGUACCACCAUGGCAACGGGACGCCACAGCUGCUCAUCGCCCCUUUCAAAGAGGAGGAUGAGUGGGACAGUCCACACAUCGUCAGGUACUACGAUGUCAUGUCUGACGAGGAAAUCGAGAGGAUCAAGGAAAUUGCAAAACCCAAACUUGCACGAGCCACUGUUCGUGAUCCCAAGACAGGUGUUCUCACUGUAGCCAGCUACAGAGUUUCCAAAAGCUCCUGGCUGGAGGAGGAGGAUGACCCUGUUGUGGCUCGGGUGAAUCUUCGGAUGCAGCACAUCACAGGCCUAACAGUAAAGACUGCAGAAUUGUUGCAGGUUGCUAAUUAUGGAAUGGGAGGACAGUACGAGCCACACUUUGACUUCUCUAGGAAGGAUGAGCAAGAUGCUUUCAAGCGUUUAGGGACGGGGAAUCGUGUGGCCACGUUCUUAAACUACAUGAGCGAUGUGGAAGCUGGUGGUGCCACUGUCUUUCCUGAUCUGGGGGCUGCACUUUGGCCUAAGAAGGGCACGGCUGUAUUCUGGUAUAACCUCCUGCGGAGCGGGGAAGGUGACUACCGAACGAGACAUGCUGCCUGCCCCGUGCUUGUGGGCUGCAAGUGGGUCUGAGCCGUGUGGAUGACAGGGUCUUCGUGCUCCAGCCGGGCAUCAGGCCUGUGCCUCUGAGGUGGGAGAGCCGAGUUCAGGACAUUGGUCGACCAGAGACCUCCCAGUUCCAUGUAAUAUCAAACGGUGAAAAUCUCCUAGAAAUCUCCAUCUCAACGCCAAGACCCAGCUCCACUCAACGACCAGCAAGCUACAGUGCUAGACACCCUAUGCCAAACAACCAGCAAGACAGGAACACCACCCCACCCAUUAGCAGAGACACUGCUUAAAAUCAUAAUAAGGUCACAGACAAAACGCAAAAGACACCACCAGACGUGGACCUCCCCACCAGAAAGACAAGAUCCAGCCUCAUCCACCAGCACAGAAGCACUAGUCCCCUCCACCAGGAAGCCUACACAACCCACUGAACUAACCUUAGCCACUGAGGGCAGACACCAAAAACAGUGGGAACUACGAACCUGCAGCCUGCAAAAAGGAGACCCUAAACACAGUAAGUUAAGCAAAAUGAGAAGACAGAGAAACACACAGCAGAUGAAGAAGCAAGGUAAAACCCCACCAGACCAAACAAAUGAAGAGGAAAUUGGCAGUCUACCUCAAAAAGAAUUCAGAAUAAUGAGAGUAAAGAUGACCCAAAAUCUUGGAAGUAGAAUGGAGAAAAUACAAGAAACGUUUAACAAGGACCUAGAAGAACUAAAGAGUAAACAAACGAUGAACGACACAAUAAAUGAAAUUAAAAACUCUCUAGAAGGAAGCAAUAGCAGAAUAACUGAGGCAGAAGAAUGGAUAAGUGACCUGGAAGAUAAAAUAGUGGAAAUAACUACUGCAGAGCAGAAUUUAAAAAAAGAAUGAAAACAAUUGAGGACUGUCUCAGAGACCUCUGAGACCUCUGGGACAACAUUAAAUGCACUGACAUUCGAAUUAUAGGGGUCCCAGAAGAAGAAGAGAAGAAGAAAGGGAUUGAGAAAAUAUUUGAAGAGAUUAUAGUUGAAAACUUCCCGAAUAUAGGAAAGGAAAUGGUUAAUCAAGUCCAGGAAGCACAGAGUUCCACACAGGUCUCCAAUAAGUGGUUCCAUGAACGAGGACAGGAGUUCUUGAGGCCAUGUGGAUCAACAGAAGUUGACUGACAUCCUUUUCUGCCCUUCACCUCCCUGUCCCCACAGCCCAUGUUGUCUUCAAGUUCAACGUGACAGACCCCCUCUACUUUCCAGCCUUUGUCAGGCGGGUCUUUGGAGGAGUGAAUGUUUGUCUGGAGCAGAGAAGGUCCUGGGGAAGGUCCUGGGUGACUUGGGUGACCUGGGUCCCAGCCUCACCAGUCAGUUCUCUGGCUGCAAGGGUAGGGUUGAAGCAGAGUCAGGUGGUCUAGCACCUAGCAAGGUGCUUUUGUACCUCAGAGCUUUAGGUGUGAGAUGUUUCAGUGAACCAAAGUUCUGAUACCUUGUUUACAUGCUUGUUUUUAUGGAAUUUCUAUUAAUGUGGCUUUAACCAAAAAAUAAAAUGUCCCUGCCAGAAGCCUUAAA